ACUGGGCGCAGUGGAGCAUGCCUAUAGUCCCAGCUACUCAGGAGGCUGAGGCUGGAGGAUUGCUUGAGUAUAGGAGUUCUGGGCUGUAGUGCACUAUGCCAAUUGGGUGUCUGCACUAAGUUUGGCAUCAAUAUGGGGACCUCUCGGGAGUGGGGGAUCACCAGGUUGCCUAAGGAGGGGUGAACCAGCCUAGGAUGAAAAUGGUGCAGGUCAAAACUCCCAUGCUGAUCAGUAGUGGGACUGAGUCUGUGAAUAGCCAUUACACUCUAGCCUGGGCAAUAUAGCAAGACCCUGUCUCA
rnacentral:SRP_RNA from 1 species